GCCGGGCGUGGUGGCUCAUGCCUGUAAUCCCAGCAGGAGGCCGAGGUGGGUGGAUCACCUGAGGUCAGGAGUUUGAGACCGGCCUGGCCAACAUGGUGAGUCCCCAUCUCUA
rnacentral:SRP_RNA from 1 species